rnacentral:rRNA from 1 species
GAUGCAGUCGAGCGGAUGAGAAAGCUUGCUCUUCGAUUCAGCGGCGGACGGGUGAGUAAUGCCUAGGAAUCUGCCUGGUAGUGGGGGACAACGUUUCGAAAGGAACGCUAAUACCGCAUACGUCCUACGGGAGAAAGCAGGGGACCUUCGGGCCUUGCGCUAUCAGAUGAGCCUAGGUCGGAUUAGCUAGUUGGUGAGGUAAUGGCUCACCAAGGCGACGAUCCGUAACUGGUCUGAGAGGAUGAUCAGUCACACUGGAACUGAGACACGGUCCAGACUCCUACGGGAGGCAGCAGUGGGGAAUAUUGGACAAUGGGCGAAAGCCUGAUCCAGCCAUGCCGCGUGUGUGAAGAAGGUCUUCGGAUUGUAAAGCACUUUAAGUUGGGAGGAAGGGCAUUAACCUAAUACGUUAGUGUUUUGACGUUACCGACAGAAUAAGCACCGGCUAACUCUGUGCCAGCAGCCGCGGUAAUACAGAGGGUGCAAGCGUUAAUCGGAAUUACUGGGCGUAAAGCGCGCGUAGGUGGUUUGUUAAGUUGGAUGUGAAAGCCCCGGGCUCAACCUGGGAACUGCAUCCAAAACUGGCAAGCUAGAGUACGGUAGAGGGUGGUGGAAUUUCCUGUGUAGCGGUGAAAUGCGUAGAUAUAGGAAGGAACACCAGUGGCGAAGCGACCACCUGGACUGAUACUGACACUGAGGUGCGAAAGCGUGGGGAGCAAACAGGAUUAGAUACCUGGUAGUCCACGCCGUAAACGAUGUCAACUAGCCUUGGAAUCCUGAGAUUUUAGUGGCGCACUAGCAUAAGUUGACCGCCUGGGGAGUACGCGCGGUAAACUCGAAUUGAGGGGCCGCACAAGCGGUGGAGCAUGUGUUUAAUUCGAAGCAGCAACUUACGUUCUGCAAAUUCGAUUGGGACUGCCGGCUGAUGGUGUCAGCUGUCGAGGGAUCAAGACUGACUGGGGGCAUCGGUACUGCAAA